AGUCUGUUGUGUUUUAUAAUAGAUUUUUUCUGCCCGGUGAUUGGUUAAACGGCCGCGGUAUUCUGACCGUGCAAAGGUAGCAUAAUCACUUGUUCUUUAAUUGGGGACUUGUAUGAAGGAAAGUUUGAGGUUUUGUCUGUCUCUUUUUUAGGUUUAGAAUUUGCUGUUUGUGUGAAGAAGCACAGUUGGAUAAAAAAGACAAGAAGACCCUUUUAAGUUUUAUUUUUUGUUUUGGUGUUUUCUUCUUUGGUUAAGAAUAAUAACGUGGUUAAUAAAAUUUAGUUGGGGUGACUAAAGAAGAAAAAUAUCUUCUUUUUUUUUAAGUACUGUAUGUUUAAAAAAGACCCGGUAUUUAUCGGUUGAAAGAACUAAUUACUAAAGGGAUAACAGCGUAAUCUUUUCAGAGAGUUCUUAUUGAAGAAAAGGAUUGCGACCUCGAUGUUGACUUGCUUUUUCCUUUUAAAGGUGCAGGUGCUAAAAGGGUUGGUCUGUUCGACCAUUAAAAUAGU
rnacentral:rRNA from 1 species